rnacentral:RNase_P_RNA from 1 species
AUCGCUGUUCGCUUCGGCGGAGGGAGGAAAGUCCGGGCAACAUAGGGCAGUGCACCUCUAGAAACAGAGGGUAUUUAGGCAGGAAUGCUUAGGUAACAGAAAGGGUAGCAGAAAAUAACCACCGUCGAUUUAUCGGCGGCCAGGGUGAAAAAGUGAGGUAAGAGCUCACACGCUCGGAUGGUAACAUUCGUUUGGUACAAACCUUGCACGUUGUAAUACCAAGUAAACUAUAGGUUGAGGGCGGCUCGUCCGAUUUUGGCUCAGGCUAAAAACUAUAGAGGGUAGGUAGCGUAGAUAAAUGAUAGGCAUUCGCCUCGGCGAAUACAGAACCCGGCUUAUAGUUUUGC